AAUCAACGCUGGCGGCGUGCCUAACACAUGCAAGUCGAACGCGAAAGCCCCGCAAGGGGUAAGUAGAGUGGCAAACGGGUGAGUAACACGUGGGUGACCUGCCCUCGAGUGGGGGAUAACGUCCCGAAAGGGACGCUAAUACCGCAUAAUAUGCCGCCUUUUAAGAGGUGGACAUCAAAGCUGGGGAUCGCAAGACCUAGCGCUUGAAGAGGGGCCCGCGCCUGAUUAGCUAGUUGGGGGGUAAUGGCUCACCAAGGCAACGAUCAGUAUCCGGCCUGAGAGGGCGACGGACACACUGGGACUGAGACACGGCCCAGACUCCUACGGGAGGCAGCAGUGGGGAAUUGUUCGCAAUGGGCGCAAGCCUGACGACGCAACGCCGCGUGGAGGAUGAAGACC
rnacentral:rRNA from 1 species